UACAGAGGGUGCGAGCGUUGUUCGGAAUUACUGGGCGUAAAGCGCGCGCAGGCGGUCUUUUAAGUCUGACGGUGAAAUGCCGGGGCUCAACCCCGUGCCCGCCGGAGAUACUGGGAGGCUGGAGACGAGUAGAGGCAAGCGGAAUUCCGGGUGUAGCGGUGGAAUGCGUAGAGAUCCGGAAGAACACCGGAGGCGAAGGCAGCUUGCUGGGCUUUGUCUGACGCUGAGGCGCGAAAGCGUGGGGAGCGAACAGG
rnacentral:rRNA from 1 species